GGAUUAGAUACCCGGGUAGUCCAUGCCGUAAACGUUGGGAACUAGAUGUAGGGCCUGUUCCACGGGUUCUGUGUCGUAGCUAACGCAUUAAGUUCCCCGCCUGGGGAGUACGGCCGCAAGGCUAAAACUCAAAGGAAUUGACGGGGGCCCGCACAAGCGGCGGAGCAUGCGGAUUAAUUCGAUGCAACGCGAAGAACCUUACCAAGGCUUGACAUAUAGGAGAACGGGCCAGAAAUGGUCAACUCUUUGGACACUUCUAUACAGGUGGUGCAUGGUUGUCGUCAGCUCGUGCCGUGAGAUGUUCGGUUAAGUCCGGCAACGAGCGCAACCCUCGUCCUAUGUUGCCAGCACGUUAUGGUGGGAACUCAUGGGAUACUGCCGUGGUCAACACGGA
rnacentral:rRNA from 1 species